AAUACUGUGCUAAGGUAGCAUAAUCACUUGUUCUCUAAUUAAGAACUAGAAUGAAAGGUAAAACGAACCAAAAAUAUAACAAACUUAUAUCUCUAAACUAAAAUAGAAAUAAAAAUAUUUCUAUAAACCCAAAAGACGAUAAGACCCUGUCGAACUUAACUAAAGUUCAACUGGGGCAGUUUAAAAACAAAAACUUCACAUCCAACUCAUAAAAAAGAACCUUUGAUUACAGGAACAAGCUACCGCAGGGAUAACAGCGCAAUAAUCUUCAAAAGCUCUAAUAAAAAAGAUAGUUUACGACCUCGAUGUUGAAUUAAUAAAUCUUACAGGUGCAAAAACCCAAAAGAAGGUCUGUUCGACCUUUAAAUCAUUACAUGAUCUG
rnacentral:rRNA from 1 species